rnacentral:lncRNA from 1 species
AUCGACAUAAAUAGGGAAAGAUAAUAGAGGCGGCGCAUGGGCCAAUGACACUUGAUGGGGAUAACAAAGGUAAGUCAUGAAAAAUCUUCAGUCUGAGUACCAGAAACAACUUCUAGCUUAUCACUUGGGAUACCGAGAAUGUUUUAUGCUUACAUGCGUAUGUUUGAAUCUUUCAAUGGCGUAAUGCUCCAUGAAAAUUGAAAUGCUAUGCGAUUUUGGAGGAUGCAAUGCAAUAUGAUUCUACAUGCAGGGAUGCGAAAUGC